CAGUCGCCGCGGGAAUACAGAGGGUGCGAGCGUUAAUCGGAUUUACUGGGCGUAAAGCGUGCGUAGGCGGCUUCUUAAGUCGGAUGUGAAAUCCCUGAGCUUAACUUAGGAAUUGCAUUCGAUACUGGGAAGCUAGAGUAUGGGAGAGGAUGGUAGAAUUCCAGGUGUAGCGGUGAAAUGCGUAGAGAUCUGGAGGAAUACCGAUGGCGAAGGCAGCCAUCUGGCCUAAUACUGACGCUGAGGUACGAAAGCAUGGGGAGCAAACAGGAUUAGAUACCCGUGUAGUCCCUGUCUCUUAUAA
rnacentral:rRNA from 1 species